rnacentral:misc_RNA from 1 species
GGUCGCCUUUGAAAAGUAGGAAAAAGUACGUCCUGUGAACGAGGGAAACAUUGCAUUCAUGCCAAAGUUCAAUGAUCUCGCGCUGUUGCUUUUCGAAUUCCAGAGGCCAACGUGAAGGAGUUUCAAUGGGUCCUACAAUCAGAUCCAAACCUGCAUUCUGAUUCGCCUGGUCUUCGGUGAGCUGUUUCUGGAAGUGGUCUUGAGCCAUCUCCUUAAGUUCUGUAACAAAAUCACU